rnacentral:miRNA from 1 species
AACGGAAUCCCAAAAGCAGCUGU